GGAAAUUCCAGGGGAGACCAACUUAUUCACAGUGCAAUUCCGGAGUCAUGCGGAAAAAAUGCAUUUCCAAGGGUCAUUGAUUGUCAUCAUCGAAAAAAAAAGUGCUUGGAAUUCCAGGCACUCCCUUCUACAAACCACAUUUUUCCAGGGAUGGAGUCAAAAAGUGGCAAGGAAAUCCAGGGGAGAUCAACUUAUUCACAGUGGAAUUCCGGAGUCAUGCGGAAAAAAAUGAAUUUCCAAGGGUCAUUGAUUAAACACAAUUGGAAUUCCAGGCACCCCCUUCUACAAACCACAUUUUUCCA